UACAGGGGGUGCAAACGUUGCUCGGAAUCAUUGGGCGUAAAGCGCACGUAGGCGGUUCGUUAUGUCGGAUGUGAAAGCCCUUGGCUUAACCGAGGAAGUGCAUCCGAAACUGGCGAGCUAGAGUACUAAAGAGGAUCGCGGAAUUCCCGGUGUAGAGGUGAAAUUCGUAGAUAUCGGGAGGAACACCGAUGGCGAAGGCAGCCCCCUGGGCUGACACUGACGCUCAGGCACGAAAGCGUGGGGAGCAAACAGG
rnacentral:rRNA from 1 species